UCAGACGGCUGGACGGCCGCUCCCGUCCGGCUUGCCGGCGCGGGGGAGGAAAGUCCGGGCUCCACGGAAACACGGUGCCGGGUAACGCCCGGCGGGGGCGACCCCAGGGAAAGUGCCACAGAAAGCAAACCGCCCGGCGUUCGCGCCAGGCAAGGGUGAAAGGGUGCGGUAAGAGCGCACCGCGCCCCCGGUAACGGGGGCGGCACGGCAAACCCCACCGGGAGCAAGACCAAAUAGGGGCGGCGCGCGGGUUUCGGUCCGCAGGUUCCGUUUCCGAACCAGCCGUCCGGGUCGGUCGCGCGAGGCCGGGAGCGAUCCCGGUCCCAGAGGAAUGGCCGUCCAGCGCCUUGCUGCCUUCGGGUGGCGGGCGUGGACAGAACCCGGCUUACAGGCCGUCUGAUCCC
rnacentral:RNase_P_RNA from 1 species